CAUCCAGACAAAGUUACAAGGCACUUACUAAUGUAUUGUGAUUGUCCAUAUUGCCUCCUUUGCUGGCUGGAUUCAUUUUUCCAUCCCAUUAUACUCUGCUCUUUUCCAUGGUCAUGACCACCCUGCAUUUCACCAUUGGAGGUCGUGCUUGCACACUAUAGG